rnacentral:rRNA from 1 species
CGUAGGGUGCGAGCGUUAAUCGGAAUUACUGGGCGUAAAGCGUGCGCAGGCGGUCUGUUAAGACCGAUGUGAAAUCCCCGGGCUUAACCUGGGAACUGCAUUGGUGACUGGCAGGCUUUGAGUGUGGCAGAGGGAGGUAGAAUUCCACGUGUAGCAGUGAAAUGCGUAGAGAUGUGGAGGAAUACCGAUGGCGAAGGCAGCCUCCUGGGCCAACACUGACGCUCAUGCACGAAAGCGUGGGGAGCAAACAGG